AUUGAACGCUGGCGGCAGGCCUAACACAUGCAAGUCGAGCGAGCGGCGGACGGGUGAGUAAUGUAUGGGGACUGCCCGAUAGCGGGGGAUAACUACUGGAAACGGUGGCUAAUACCGCAUACUAUCGGAUAACCCAUAUGGGAUUAGCUAGGAGGUGGGGUAAAGGCUCACCUGGGCGACGAUCUCUAGCUGGUCUGAGCGGAUGAUAAGCAACACUGGGACUUAGACACGGCCAAGACUACGACGGAGGAAGCAGUGGGGAAGAUGGCAAAAUGGGCGAAAGCCUGAUGCAGCCAGGCCGCGUGUAUGAAGAAGGCCUUAGGGUUGUAAAGUACUUUCAGCGGGGAGGCGUUACCCGCAGAAGAAGCACCGGCUAACUCCGUGCCAGCAGCCGCGGUAAUAC
rnacentral:rRNA from 1 species